GUAGGGAAUAUUGCGCAAUGGACGAAAGUCUGACGCAGCGACGCCGCGUGAGUGAUGAAGGCCUUAGGGUCGUAAAGCUCUGUUGAAUGGGAAGAAAAAAAUGAUGGUACCAUUCGAGGAAGGACCGGCUAACUUCGUGCCAGCAGCCGCGGUAAUACGAGGGGUCCUAGCGUUGUUCGGAAUCAUUGGGCGUAAAGGGUGUGUAGGUGGCCAUGUAAGUCAGGUGUGAAAGCCCCGGGCUCAACCCGGGAAGUGCACUUGAUACUGCGUGGCUUGAGUACCGAAGAGGGUAGUGGAAUUCCAGGUGUAGUGGUGAAAUACGUAGAUAUCUGGAGGAACACCGGUGGCGAAGGCGGCUACCUGGUCGAGUACUGACACUGAGACACGAAAGCAUGGGGAUCAAACAGGAUUAGAUACCCCUGUAGUCC
rnacentral:rRNA from 1 species